GUGCCCACCUCCUGCCGCGGCUUGUACAGGCCAGGAGCCACCACAGCCCUGUCUGUGACUCUCAGCUCCCGAGGCUGGGCUCUUCCCCAGGGAAGCUGCAUGACCAUGGCCACAUACAGGAGGUAGGAGACAGAGGCCUCCACGGUGGACGAUCGUGGCGUGAAGUCCACGUUGACCACGUUGUCGGUGCUGGGGGAGCGGAUGAAGGCCAGGGACCCGCGGCGCUCUCCCUGUGGUCAGGAAGCAGCCCGGAGACCCUAAAACUCCAUUGGCCUCAUGUCCAGAACUGAAUCAGGUUCAGCUCGUGGAAGACAUUCAGGAUCCGGUCUCGAGACUUCUGGGCCGACCGUCUCAUGAGGACCCUGCUGAGGAACUUCCUGUCGAAGUGGGACCACCUGUAGGGACAGACCUUGGGUGUGAGCCUCAGGUGACAGGCGCCCUAGAGCCCGCCGGACGCGUGGCCCGGCCCCUUCUCUCCUGAAUUUUGUUUGCUAUAGUGACCCUGUAGGCGCGUUUAAAAUGAGGGAAGCAGCCCCUGCCACACGCCCAGGC
rnacentral:lncRNA from 1 species